GGAGACGUAGCUCAGUGGCAGAGCGGCUCCGUUGCCAAUUUUGCCCCCACGGGGCCGGAGGUGAUGGUUACCGACUUCUAAUCGGCAGGUCGCGGGUUCGAGUCCCGCCGUCUUCC
rnacentral:tRNA from 1 species